rnacentral:rRNA from 1 species
AUUGAACGCUGGCGGCAUGCCUUACACAUGCAAGUCGAACGGCAGCACGGGAGCAAUCCUGGUGGCGAGUGGCGAACGGGUGAGUAAAGUAUCGGAACGUGCCCAGUCGUGGGGGAUAACGUAGCGAAAGUUACGCUAAUACCGCAUACGAUCUAUGGAUGAAAGCGGGGGAUCGCAAGACCUCGCGCGAUUGGAGCGGCCGAUAUCAGAUUAGGUAGUUGGUGGGGGAAAGGCUCACCAAGCCGACGAUCUGUAGCUGGUCUGCAAGGACGACCAGCGACACUGGGACUGAGACACGGCCCAGACGCCUACGGGAGGCAGCAGUGGGGAAUUUUGGACAAUGGGCGAAAGCCUGAUCCAGCCAUGCCGCGUGCAGGAUGAAGGCCUUCGGGUUGUAAACUGCUUUUGUACGGAACGAAAAGGUUUGGCCUAAUAAGCUGAGCUCAUGACGGUACCGUAAGAAUAAGCACCGGCUAACUACGUGCCAGCCGCCGCCGUAA